AUUUAGUACUGAAGGUUUGCUAGAUGCCUGUGUUCUGUUCAUUUUAGAUUUUCCUAAUCUUUUCAUCUCAUUUCUAUCCCAAGCAGCUACAGUAACAAAAUUAAAUUUAAUGUUCAUAUGUGUGCGCCUUUUUUUCCCUUUCACAAUAUUAUUUAUCAGACUUCAAUAUGUUGUUUUGAUUGAACAUUGUCAAUAGAGCCUAUAUUUAUGUCACAUCUUGUUGAAU
rnacentral:misc_RNA from 1 species